rnacentral:piRNA from 1 species
UGACCAUGUAGCCUGUCUAAUCCAAGAAGA